rnacentral:rRNA from 1 species
GCCUAACACAUGCAAGUCGAACGGUAGCACAGAGAGCUUGCUCUUGGGUGACGAGUUGGCGGACGGGUGAGUAAUGUCUGGGAAACUGCCCGAUAGAGGGGGAUAACUACUGGAAACGGUAGCUAAUACCGCAUAACCUCGUAAGAGCAAAGUGGGGGACCUUCGGGCCUCACGCUAUCGGAUGUGCCCAGAUGGGAUUAGCUAGUAGGUGGGGUAAUGGCUCACCUAGGCGACGAUCCCUAGCUGGUCUGAGAGGAUGACCAGCCACACUGGAACUGAGACACGGUCCAGACUCCUACGGGAGGCAGCAGUGGGGAAUAUUGCACAAUGGGCGCAAGCCUGAUGCAGCCAUGCCGCGUGUAUGAAGAAGGCCUUCGGGUUGUAAAGUACUUUCAGCGGGGAGGAAGGCGAUGAGGUUAAUAACCUCGUCGAUUGACGUUACCCGCAGAAGAAGCACCGGCUAACUCCGUGCCAGCAGCCGCGGUAAUACGGAAGGGUGCAAGCGUUAAUCGGAAUUACUGGGCGUAAAGCGCACGCAGGGCGGUCUGUCAAGUCAGAUGUGAAAUCCCCGGGCUUAACCUGGGAACUGCAUUUGAAACUGGCAGGCUAGAGUCUUGUAGAGGGGGGGUAGAAUUCCAGGUGUAGCGGUGAAAUGCGUAGAGAUCUGGAGGAAUACCGGUGGCGAAGGGCGGCCCCCUGGACAAAGACUGACGCUCAGGUGCGAAAGCGUGGGGAGCAAACAGGAUUAGAUACCCUGGUAGUCCACGCUGUAAACGAUGUCGACUUGGAGGUUGUGCCCUUGA